rnacentral:ncRNA from 1 species
AGCAUCAAUGGUUAAGGGAAUGCCGUGUGAAUCGGCAACAGUACCCGCUGCUGUAAGUUCUUGAUAGUCUUGCAAAUAUACCACUGUCGCUCCUAAAACGAUGGGAAGGUUGCAAGAUUGGAAUAAGUCAGAAGACCUGCCAUGAUAAAUA